AUUGAACGCUGGCGGCAUGCCUUACACAUGCAAGUCGAACGGCAGCAUGGGAGCUUGCUCCUGAUGGCGAGUGGCGAACGGGUGAGUAAUGCAUCGGAACGUACCCGGAAGUGGGGGAUAACGUAGCGAAAGUUACGCUAAUACCGCAUAUUCUGUGAGCAGGAAAGAGGGGGGAUCGCAAGACCUCUCGCUUUUCGGAGCGGCCGAUGUCAGAUUAGCUAGAUGGUGAGGUAAAGGCUCACCAAGGCGACGAUCUGUAGCGGGUCUGAGAGGAUGAUCCGCCACACUGGAACUGAGACACGGUCCAGACUCCUACGGGAGGCAGCAGUGGGGAAUUUUGGACAAUGGGGGCAACCCUGAUCCAGCCAUGCCGCGUGAGUGAAGAAGGCCUCGG
rnacentral:rRNA from 1 species